UUAUAUAAAGUAAAUAAUUACAUUUAAUUUCGACUUAAGAUUCAGAUUAUAAAUAUAAUCUAUAUUCA
rnacentral:tRNA from 1 species